rnacentral:rRNA from 2 species
CAUCCUCCAAGGCUAAAUACUCCUGACUGACCGAUAGUGAACCAGUACCGUGAGGGAAAGGCGAAAAGAACCCCGGCGAGGGGAGUGAAAAAGAACCUGAAACCGUGUACGUACAAGCAGUGGGAGCCCCACCACUAAGCCAGUGGUGAACUCCACAUACGCAUCCUUUGCUGAGGAUACGGUUAACGGAGCGAAAGCGACGUUCAACCGCAAAAGAAGCAGAGGGGGCUUAGUGGUGGGGUGACUGCGUACCUUUUGUAUAAUGGGUCAGCGACUUAUAUUCUGUAGCAAGGUUAACCGUAUAGGGGAGCCGCAGGGAAACCGAGUCUUAACCGGGCGUUAAGUUGCAGGGUAUAGACCCGAAACC